rnacentral:rRNA from 1 species
UACGUAUGGUGCGAGCGUUAAUCGGAAUUACUGGGCGUAAAGCGUGCGCAGGCGGUGCGCCAAGCUCGAUGUGAAAGCCCCGGGCUUAACCUGGGAAUUGCAUUGAGGACUGGCGUGCUCGAGUGCGGCAGAGGGGGGUGGAAUUCCACGUGUAGCAGUGAAAUGCGUAGAGAUCCGGAAGAACACCGGUGGCGAAGGCGGCCUGCUGGGCAGUGGCUGACGCUGAGGCGCGACAGCGUGGGGAGCAAACAGG